rnacentral:rRNA from 1 species
CUCGCGCCGGCGACGUAUCUUUCAAGUGUCUGCCCUAUCAACUUUCGAUGGUACGUGAUAUGCCUACCAUGGUGAUAACGGGUAACGGGGAAUCAGGGUUCGAUUCCGGAGAGGGAGCCUGAGAAAUGGCUACCACAUCCAAGGAUGGCAGCAGGCGCGCUAAUUACCCACUCCCAGCUUGGGGAGGUAGUGACGAAAAAUAACAAUGCGGGACUCUAAGAGGCCCCGUAAUUGGAAUGAGUACACCUUAAAUCGUUUAACGAGUAUCAAUUGGAGGGCAAGUCUGGUGCCAGCAGCCGCGGUAAUUCCAGCUCCAAUAGCGUAUAUUAAAGUUGCUGCAGUUAAAAAGCUCGUAGUUGGAUCUGGGGCUUGAGGUCGCUGUCUAUCGUUUCGGCGAUGACGGUGAUGCUCAGCUCUGCUUGCCGGUGACUGUUGCGGUGUUCUUCACUGAGCGCUGUAGCAGCACGGCACGUUUACUUUGAAAAAAUUAGAGUGCUCAAAGCGUGCUUGUCGCUUGAAUAAUGUUGCAUGGAAUAAUGGAAUAGGACCUCGGUUCUAUUUUGUUGGUUUUCGGAGCUUGAGGUAAUGAUUAAGAGGGACGAACGGGGGCAUUCGUAUUGCGGUGUUAGAGGUGAAAUUCUUGGAUCGCCGCAAGACGGACUACUGCGAAAGCAUUUGCCAAGAACGCUUUCAUUAAUUAAGAACGAAAGUCAGAGGUUCGAAGACGAUCAGACACCGUCCUAGUUCUGACCAUAAACGAUGCCGACCAGCGAUCCGUAGUGGUUGCUUUAUGGACCCUACGGGCAGCCUCCGGGAAACCAAAGUAUUUGGGUUCCGGGGGAAGUAUGGUUGCAAAGCUGAAACUUAAAGGAAUUGACGGAAGGGCACACCAGGAGUGGAGCCUGCGGCUUAACUUGACCCAACACGGGAAAACUCACCCGGUCCGGACACCGUAAGGAUUGACAGACUGAUAGCUCUUUCUUGACUCGGUGGAUGGUGGUGCAUGGCCGUUCUUAGUUGGUGGAGUGAUUUGUCUGGUUAAUUCCGAUAACGAACGAGACUCUAGCCUGCUAAGUAGUGUUGCUAUUGUUAUAUGGUUGACACUUCUUAGAGGGACAAGUGGCAUUUAGCCACGCGAAAUUGAGCAAUAACAGGUCUGUGAUGCCCUUAGAUGUCCGGGGCCGCACGCGCGCUACACUGGAGA